rnacentral:rRNA from 1 species
UCCGUAGGUGGAUAAUUAAGUCAGAGGUGAAAGUCUGCAGCUCAACUGUAGAAUUGCCUUUGAUACUGGUUGUCUUGAGUUAUUAUGAAGUAGUUAGAAUAUGUAGUGUAGCGGUGAAAUGCAUAGAUAUUACAUAGAAUACCAAUUGCGAAGGCAGAUUACUAAUAAUAUACUGACACUGAUGGACGAAAGCGUGGGGAGCGAACA